rfam:Scleropages formosus scaffold15851, whole genome shotgun sequence.
AAAAUGGUUGCAUUUGCAACCAAAAAUAUUAAUUUGCGAGUGAUAU